rnacentral:rRNA from 1 species
CCUACGGGAGGCAGCAGUAGGGAAUCUUCGGCAAUGGGGGCAACCCUGACCGAGCAACGCCGCGUGAGUGAAGAAGGUUUUCGGAUCGUAAAGCUCUGUUGUAAGAGAAGAACGAGUGUGAGAGUGGAAAGUUCACGCUGUGACGGUAUCUUACCAGAAAGGGACGGCUAACUACGUGCCAGCAGCCGCGGUAAUACGUAGGUCCCGAGCGUUAUCCGGAUUUAUUGGGCGUAAAGCGAGCGCAGGCGGUUAGAUAAGUCUGAAGUUAAAGGCUGUGGCUUAACCAUAGUACGCUUUGGAAACUGUUUAACUUGAGUGCAGAAGGGGAGAGUGGAAUUCCAUGUGUAGCGGUGAAAUGCGUAGAUAUAUGGAGGAACACCGGUGGCGAAAGCGGCUCUCUGGUCUGUAACUGACGCUGAGGCUCGAAAGCGUGGGGAGCAAACAGGAUUAGAUACCCCAGUAGUC